GGUUCUACCUCCCGUCAUUUCUGAUACAGAUCUGCUGGGCAGCACCAGAGCCCCCAGGUGAACACCUGGCCCACACCCAUCCCCCUUUAAGGAAAGCAGCAUCCUAGGUCUCCCCUCUCCACCCACAGAUCUCCCCAAGGGUCUGGGGGCACACGGCCCUCCCCCUACCUCCCCCUACCUGGCCCAGUCAGCCAAGAAGGUGAAGUGUGCAUCAUGGCAUUGUGCAAAUGGGCUGGACAGACCAAAUUUGGAGAAUAUGUCUGGGGGAAUUUGGCUUAAAGAGAGCAGAAGGGGACACUUCUGAUCGAUUUGGGGACCUGGGGGCACACCACGGGCAGGCUUCAGAGCAGCUAGCAGUGAAGAGUGCCAUGUGGAUGAAGAGGACAUGGACAGGAAAGCAAAGAGCAGCCCGCUGUUUCAAGCAUGAGUCCCGCCUGCUUCAGAAGGCAGUUUAUCUGUUUAAAAAAAGAAGAAUCCUCAACGAUGGAGGUGCCCUUCCCUCUCCUCUGUGAUCACCUGCAUCAGUCCAGCAGAUCCACCUCACCCCACACCAGCCCAAGGCCUCUGGUCACUGAGAACCUCCACUGGUACCUGCAGGGAAGACGGUCUUCCUCCACGACACGGGAUGAGGGCACAACAUGGAUCUUAUGGUUCUGAUCUCUAAGAACGAGACUGCUCCCCACCCACCCCAGUGAUCUCCAGAAAGUCCUGCAGUCUGGUUGCAUGGCCGGCUUGGGGCUGUCUUCCCACCCAGAAACAAAUCACGAUGGCCAGGGGAGAGCAUGUGCUAGUGGAACACGCUUAAGCUGGGUCACAUCUCCCCCAGGCUGAGGACAGGGUGGGCGCACCAGUCUCAUCAAAUCCACAAAUGACUUCCUAACAGAAUUGGGGAGACUAUGUAUGCUAAAACAAAAAAACAAAAAAAACAAAAAAAAAAA